CAACAGGGGCACCUGAGUGGCUCAGUCUGUUAAGCAGCAGACUCUUGAUUUCAGCUCAGGUCAUGCUCUUGUGGUUUGUGGGAUGGAGCCACAAGUUGAACCCUUCGCUGACAGUGCAGAGCCUGUUUGGGAUUCUCUCUCUCCCUCUCUCUCUGUCCCUCCCCUGCUCAUACAUGCAUGCACUCUCCCUUUCUCUAAAUAAAAAUAAACGUUAAAAAAAAGAAAUGACAACAUGUGUUCAGCUGGAUGUUAGAGUCACUAUGGUGUGGCUGCUAUGGUGAGUGUCGUGACCCACCCUUUACUUUAUCAGAAUGAUAGUGUUGACUGCAUUUAUCCCAUGCCUGUCCCUCCAUCAGAAGCUGGGGGGGGGAGGGUACAGCUAACACAUCUCUUUCAUUUACACGUCUUCAAAUCAAGAGAAGUCACACCCAAAGUCAAAUGAAGAACUACAUCCAAGGAGCCUUACCUGCACUUGUACCUGAUUUAGAUACUGGAUUUAGAUUCUGGACCUUGAACCUGAGCCCAGUGCCAUAAUAGGAUAAGACUUGGGGGCAGGGCUUGCAAGGGGUGAGUGUAUUUUGCAUGUGGGAAGAAUGAAUGUAAAUACUUUUUGGUCAAAGAGCAAACUGUGGUGGUUUUUAAAAAUGGUCCCAGGGGCGCCUGGGUGGCUCAGUUGUUUGAAUGUCCAACUUCACCUCAGGUCGUGAUCUCAUGGUUUGUGAGUUCAAAGCCCCAUAUUGGGCUCACUGGUGUCAGCAAGGAGACUCCUUCAGUUCCUCUGCCCCCUCUCUCUCUGCCCCUCCCCUGCUUGUGCUCUCUUAAAAAUAAAUAAAACAUUUAAAACAAUAAAAAGAAAAUAAAUAAAAAUGGCCAUAAACUUUCUGACAAACCUCACAUUGAGAGGUAGACUCUGUGCCCUGUCCCUCUGAAUCUGGGGUGGUUUAUGACAGCUUUCACCAACAGAAUGUGGAGGGAGUGAUGCUGUGUGGCUCCCAAGACUGAGUCAGAAAAGUCUGUAUGCCUUCUUGGGAUACUUGCUGUAUUGCAGGACGCUCCCCAGAACCUGGCCACCAUGCUGGGAGGAGUCCACACCACAUGAAGAGACCGUGAUUAGGUUCUCAAGUUGAAAGUCCAGCUGAGCCCCAUCUUUGCAUCUUCCCACCCAAGUGCUAGUCAUGCAAGCGAUAAAGCCUCCAGAUAAUUCCAACCCCCAACCAUUUGAGUCAUCUCCAACUAUGACAGUCUACCUGGCUGAGACCUCAGUCAUUGUGCAGCAGGGAUGAGCCCCCAUGCCCCAUCUUAAUUCCUGGUUCACAGAAUCCACAAACACAAUAAACUGGUAGUUGUUUUACAUCACUGAAUUCGGGGUGGUUUGCUUAUAGCAACAGAACGCCCUCCUGCAGGGAGAUGUAGCCUGUACACAUGGAGAUAGGAGGACUCGUUGGUAGCUGUCUUGAUGAUCUCCUACAGAGCUCUUUGAGUCUCAGCCUACUUCAAGACAGGCACAGUUCACUGUGGGGGCUCAAGAGAGGAUCACAGAAUUCAGUGGCAGGAAGUAGAGCCAAGGUACACGGGGGGCUGGAGCUGAGAAUGGGGCCUGCAGGAAUUAGGGCUGUGCCGACCUGCUCUCUCUGGGACUGCAUGGGUUCUCCUCCCCCAUGUGCCUUGUGGGAGCCUGUAAUGGCUCCUGGCCCCACUGUCCUCUAGGACCCUCAGUCCAACUGGGCACACUGGCUGCUCCCGUGAGAAUUCCCAGUCCAUGGUUGGGGCAGGGGGGUUGGCUUGGGAACCAGGCCUGGCUGUCUCUGACCAGGGGUCCACUCUGGCCCCCAAAGCCAAAGCCAAGAAAGGGGGUCCUCUCCAGGUGUGGGCAGGGCAGACACUCUGACAUAUGUCAGUCAUCCAGAUGGGCGGACAUAUUUUUGAUCAGGGAGAAAUAAAAAUAGGCAUUGUUGGCUGUUAAUCGCUUUUUUUGUGAUGUCUGAGGUAACUAAACCUUAUUCUCCAAUCUUUCUCUUCCUUCCUUCCUUCCUUCUUCCCUCCCUCACUCUCCCUCUCUCUCUUGUUUCAUUCCUCCCUCCUUUCCUCCCUUCCUCCCUUUCUCUCUUUCUUUCUUUCUUUGUUCAUUUUCAAGUUGCUCCCAGGGAGAAGGGGAGUAGAGGCUGAUCCCUGAGCCCAGGGAGGAUCUUUCUCACAUGGGGCUUACUCCAAAGUGUUCAGGUCAAUAGGACUUGUGGAAAAGAAGAUGAAAGUGGGAACUGCCUGGAGACCUGCCUGCCCCUCACCAUCAUGUCCUGGCCCUGAUGCUUGAGGGACUUGAGGGAGAAAAGCAAAAGACAUGCUUCUGACAGUCCCACUGAACUUCACUUGUCCUUGGUCAGUAAAGCAAGGGAAGCACCUUAAACACUGUCUGGAAACUUCUUUAGCUAGAUCACCCAGUUUAUUAGGUACAUUUUCUACUUUUUGAGUUACUGCAGGUGACUGUGUAGCUAAACUUUCUGCCACUAUGCAGAAUGGAUUCCUGUCUCUGACUUUUAAAAGACAUUUUCCUCCAUUUCCUUUAAGCUCUCAUCUGAAUAUCCUUUUUUUAAAAAAGUAUUUACUUAUUUAAGUAAUCUCUACUCCUAAUGUGGGGCUUGAACUCACAACCCCAAGAUCAAGAGUCACAUGCUCUUCUGACUGAGCCAGCCAGGCGUUCCAUCGUCAGAAGUAUCCUUAAAGACCAUCAGACUUCAUCUAACAGAUUCUUCAAAGGCAAUCGUGAUUUCAUUACCACCCAUAUCAAAGUCCUUCUGGCUUCUGACCUUUGCUGGUUCCAAAACUUCUCCCACAUUCCAGUUUUUGUUUCCACAGCAUCCUAUUUCUAAAUAGUAGAUAUAAUUAUCUGCAUUAAUUAUACAUACAGUAAAACCUUGGUUUGAGAGCAUUAAUUUGUUCCAGAAACAUGCUUAUAAUCCAAAGUACUUGUAUAUCAAAGCGAAUUUCCCCAUAAGAAAUAAUGAAAACUCAGAUGAUUUGUUCCACAACCCAAAAAUAUUCACAUAAUUCAAAAUACUGUAAUAUAAUACAAAAUAAAGAAAACACAAGAUAUAAAAAAAUAAAUUAACCUGCACUUACCUUUGAAAACCUUCAUGGCUGCUGUGAGGGAGACAAGAUAGAGGAGGGUUAUUGUGUAGGACGACUUUCUUUCUUUCCUUUUUAAAAAUUCUUUUAAUUUUUUUAGAAUUACGUUCAUUAUGUCUAAUGGAAUCACUGGUAUGCAUUGGCUCAAUGAAAUCUUUUUCUUUUUGCACAACUUUAACAAGGAACCUAUCCAAUGACACUUGCUUUUGCCUCCUUUUGAGGAUUUCGUGGAAAUGUGACAUUGCAUUGAUGACCACUCACAAUCUCACACAGAGAGACAGAGAGAAGAACCAUUGGCUCAGUUGUGAUCAUGUGACGUUCAGUGUCAUGUACUACUCGUAUUGCAAGAUAUCACUCCUUUAUCAAGUUAAAAUUUACUAGAAAUGUUUGCAAGUUUGGGGGAGUACUCGCAGAACAAGUUACUCGCAAUCCAAGGUUGUAUUGUACCACUCUUAUCUGUAUUUGUUAUCUAUUGCUGUACAACACAUUACCCCUGAAUUAGUGACUUAAAACAAUAAACCUGUGUUAUUGUACCCCA